UACAUGAAGCUGGAAUCGCUAGUAAUCGCGGAUCAGAAUGCCGCGGUGAAUACGUUCCCGGGUCUUGUACACACCGCCCGUCACACCAUGGGAGGUCGGAAAUGCCCGAAGUCUGUGACCCAACCUUAGGGAGGGAGGCAGCCGAAGGCAGGGUCGGAUGACUGGGGUGAAGUCGUAACAAGGUACC
rnacentral:rRNA from 1 species